rnacentral:rRNA from 1 species
GACGAACGCUGGCGGCGUGCUUAACACAUGCAGGUCGAGCGGAAAGGCCACUUCGGUGGUACUCGAGCGGCGAACGGGUGAGUAACACGUGAGUAAUCUGCCCUUGGCUUUGGGAUAGCCACCGGAAACGGUGAUUAAUACCGGAUACGACCACUUCUCGCAUGGGAUGGUGGUGGAAAGUUUUUCGGCCAGGGAUGUGCUCGCGGCCUAUCAGCUUGAUGGUGAGGUAAUGGCUCACCAUGGCUUCGACGGGUAGCCGGCCUGAGAGGGUGACCGGUCACACUGGGACUGGGACACGGCCCAGACUCCUACGGGAGGCAGCAGUGGGGAAUAUUGGACAAUGGGCGGAAGCCUGAUCCAGCAACGCCGCGUGAGGGAUGACGGCCUUCGGGUUGUAAACCUCUUUCAGCAGGGACGAAGCGCAAGUGACGGUACCUGCAGAAGAAGCACCGGCCAACUACGUGCCAGCAGCCGCGGUAACAC